rnacentral:rRNA from 1 species
CUACGGGGUGCUCCAGUAAGGAAUAUUGCGCAAUGGAGGCAACUCUGACGCAGCCAUGCCGCGUGCAGGAAGAAGGCCUUAUGGGUCGUAAACUGCUUUUAUUUAGGAAUAAACCCCCGAACGUGUUCGGGGCUGAAGGUACUAAACGAAUAAGCACCGGCUAACUCCGUGCCAGCAGCCGCGGUAAUACGGAGGGUGCAAGCGUUAUCCGGAUUUAUUGGGUUUAAAGGGUGCGCAGGCGGGCUAUUAAGUCAGUGGUGGAAUCCCGGGGCUCAACUCCGGAACUGCCAUUGAUACUGAUAGUCUUGAGUUUGGUUGAAGUGGGCGGAAUGUAGCAUGUAGCGGUGAAAUGCAUAGAUAUGCUACAGAACACCAAUCGCGAAGGCAGCGCACUAAGCCAAAACUGACGCUCAUGCACGAAAGCGUGGGGAUCAAACAGGAUUAGAUACCCCUGUAGUC